CAGGAGCUGACGCCUCGCUGGACACCCAAGGCAGCCCAUGUCCUGAGAAAACCCAUCUUCGGCCGCUACAAACCAGACACCUUGGCUGUAGCCGUUGAAAACGGAACUGGCACCGACAGACAGAUCCUGUUUCUGGACCUUGGCACUGGAGCCGUCCUGUGUAGCCUAGCCCUCCCGAGCCUCCCUGGGGGUCCACUGUCCGCCAGCCUGCCGACCGCAGACCACCGCUCAGCCUUCUUCUUCUGGGGCCUCCACGAGCUGGGGAGCACCAGCGAGACGGUACGGGAGCCCGGCACAGCCUGUACAUGUUCCACCCCACCCUGCCGCGCGUGCUGCUGGAGCUGGCCAAUGUCUCUACCCACAUUGUCGCCUUUGACGCCGUCCUGUUUGAGCCAAGCCGCCACGCCGCCUACAUCCUUCUGACAGGCCCGGCAGACUCAGAGGCACCCGGCCUGGUCUCUGUGAUCAAGCACAAGGUGCGGGACCUUGUCCCAAGCAGCAGGGUGGUCCGCCUGGGUGAGGGUGGGCCAGACAGUGACCAAGCCAUCAGGGACCGGUUCUCCCGGCUGCGGUACCAGAGUGAGGCGUAGAGGCACGCCAGCCAGAGCCUGUGGAGAGACUCCGCCUGCUGACACUAAACGUCCUGGGAAGUGGGCCCUUCCCUGGGUCUCUGCACUGACUCCCCCACUCCUGACCCUGGUGAUGGUCGCCACUGGGCAGCAGCAGCCUUACCAGUCCUCCAUGAUCACACCCAGGGACCUGCAUGGGUGAGGGGACACCCUGGGCCUCUCUCCCGCCCAGCAUCCUCCCUGAGUCCCCACACAGGGCCUCACUCUGCACCCCACCAGGGUCCCGCUCACACCAGGCAGCCUUCAUAGUGGUCUCCCUGGCCACCUUGGGCAGAGCUGGGUCAUGCAGCACCCCAUCCUUACCCGGUGCCCUCUCCUUGCCAGCUUCUCCCCAGGCCAGAGCGGCCAUCGCGUAGAAAGAACCAGGGUGUCCCCGGGACAGGCCGUCCCCCACCCCAUCCUGUAGAAGUCCAUUCCCCUUUUCCCUCCUGUGCUCUGUCCCCCAAGGAGUCAUGGAACUCAGGGUACUGGGCCUCAACGGGAACCUGAGACAGCUCCAGCUUCGCAGCCCUUCCCGGAGCUACAGGGGGAUCCUCUAGCAUGGGGGGUGUGACUUGGUUCCUUUGACCAGGUCCUGUGAGGAAGCCUGGAGCAAGGGUCUCCCCCAGCAGGAUGGGUGGGGCCUGCUCUGGAGCUGAGCCCGUGGCCGCUCACAGGUGUCCUUAGUGGUGUUGCAGCUGUCUACUGGCUGCAUGUGCUGUGAAUAUCCCAAGGAACUGGCUGUGGAAUGCGUGUUUGGGUCAGUCUGUGCCCUCUCAGUAGACACUGGAGCUGCUCUGUCCCUGAAGAGGCCCCGUGCCCCAGGCAUGGCAAGCGCCUGCCUCUCCCCUUCCGGUGCUCACACGCCCACGCCGUGCCACCCGAUGCAGGACUCACCUCUGUGCCUUGCUGCUCCUGAGGCCCAAGGGCAGCCAUGGUGCUCUGUACUGCUCGGGCCGCCCAGGUCACAGAGCCUGAGCUUCGUAGCCAAAGCAGCCUGAUGACCCACCCACCAAGGAAGAAAGCAGAAUAAACAUUUUUGCACUGCCUGAAAAACCCCGGUGGUCAGGCGUGAGCCU
rnacentral:lncRNA from 1 species